UAGAUUGAAGCCCGCUGGUUUGGGUUUUUAGUUGUUGACUAAAGGUUUAUGGGAUCAAGGCCCGUCGAUCUAG
rnacentral:tRNA from 1 species